rnacentral:rRNA from 1 species
GAUGAACGCUAGCGGGAGGCCUAACACAUGCAAGCCGAGCGGUAGAGUUUCUUCGGAAACUUGAGAGCGGCGCACGGGUGCGUAACACGUGUGCAACCUACCUUUAUCUGGGGGAUAGCCUUUCGAAAGGAAGAUUAAUACCCCAUAAUAUAAUGAUUGGCAUCAAUUAUUAUUGAAAACUCCGGUGGAUAGAGAUGGGCACGCGCAAGAUUAGAUAGUUGGUGAGGUAACGGCUCACCAAGUCAAUGAUCUUUAGGGGUCCUGAGAGGGAGAUCCCCCACACUGGUACUGAGACACGGACCAGACUCCUACGGGAGGCAGCAGUGAGGAAUAUUGGACAAUGGGUGAGAGCCUGAUCCAGCCAUCCCGCGUGAAGGAUGACGGCCCUAUGGAUUGUAAACUUCUUUUGUACAGGGAUAAACCUACCCUCGUGAGGGUAGCUGAAGGUACUGGACGAAUAAGCACCGGCUAACUCCGUG